UACGAAGGGUGCAAGCGUUACUCGGAAUUACUGGGCGUAAAGCGUGCGUAGGUGGUUUGUUAAGUCUGUUGUGAAAGCCCCGGGCUCAACCUGGGAAUGGCAAUGGAUACUGGCAAGCUAGAGUGCGGUAGAGGGUAGUGGAAUUCCCGGUGUAGCGGUGAAAUGCGUAGAGAUCGGGAGGAACACCAGUGGCGAAGGCGGCUACCUGGACCAGCACUGACACUGAGGCACGAAGCGUGGGGAGCAAACAGG
rnacentral:rRNA from 1 species